rnacentral:rRNA from 1 species
GACGAACGCUGGCGGCGUGCCUAAUACAUGCAAGUCGAACGAGUGGCGGACGGGUGAUUGACACCUGGGUAACGUACGCACUGAGGGGGAUAACACUUGGAAACAGGUGCUAAUACCGCAUACUGAUGUAUGGACCCGCGGUGCAUGAGCUAGUUGGUGGGGUAAAGGCUCACCUAGGCGACGAUCUAGAGCUGGUCUGAGAGGAUGAUCAGCCACACUGGGACUGAGACACGGCCCAGACUCCUACGGUAGGCAGCAGUGGGGAAUAUUGCACAAUGGGCGCAAGCUUGAUGCAGCAAUGCCGCGUGUAUGAAGAAGGCCUUAGGGUUGUAAAGUACUUUCAGCGGGGAGGCGUUACCCGCAGAAGAAGCACCGGCUAACUCCGUGCCAGCCGCCGCGGUAAUAC